GGACGAACGCUGGCGGCGUGCUUAACACAUGCAAGUCGAGCGGUAAGGCCCUUCGGGGUACGACGAGCGGCGAACGGGUGAGUAACACGUGGGUGACCUGCCUCUAGCUCUGGGAUAAGCCUGGGAAACUGGGUCUAAUACCGGAUAUGACUCCACGGCGCAUGUUGUGGGGUGGAAAGCCUUGUGUGGCUAGAGAUGGGCCCGCGGCCUAUCAGCUUGCUGGGUGGGGNGAUGGCCUACCAAGGCGACGACGGGUAGCCGGCCUGAGAGGCGACCGGCCACACUGGGACUGAGACACGGCCCAGACUCCUACGGGAGGCGAGCAGUGGGGAAUCUUGCGCAAUGGGCGAAAGCCUGACGCAGCGACGCCGCGUGA
rnacentral:rRNA from 1 species